UACGUAGGCGGCAAGCGUUGUCCGGAAUUAUUGGGCGUAAAGGGAGCGCAGGCGGGAAACUAAGCGGAUCGUAAAAGUGCGGGGCUCAACCCCGUGAUGGGGUCCGAACUGGUUUUCUUGAGUGCAGGAGAGGAAAGCGGAAUUCCCAGUGUAGCGGUGAAAUGCGUAGAUAUUGGGAAGAACACCAGUGGCGAAGGCGGCUUUCUGGACUGUAACUGACGCUGAGGCUCGAAAGCUAGGGUAGCGAACGGG
rnacentral:rRNA from 1 species